GCGUGCGUGUAGCAUGUGCAGAGGUGUGUGUCCGCGUGCCUCUGCUGUGCGCGGUGGUGUGACGGUCGCUCCGUUUACAGACAAGUUGCAGCCGGUCGCCUCAUCGUCCCACAGCGCGCCUCAGUGUGCCGCCUCCGGAGCGAACAGGAGGACGAUGAUGCAAAAGCAACGUGUGUGAGGAGAAAUGGACGACGUGAUGGAUGGACGGAUGGAUGGAAAGAGUGAGGAGAGGAGGCUCAUCUGGACUCUCUUAAGGCAACAGAUCUCCCAUCGCUGCAGGUUACAGGCAGGGAUGGAGAGCACGGACAGUCACGCACGCAGUCACGCAAAAGAAACAGUCGCUCUGUAAACUCGCACGCUAUAAUAUCAACUAAACGCCUCGGGGAGGGGCCGUGCAUCUUAGGUCUGACAGCCACGCACACAUCAAUAAAUAGCCGCAUCAUUCCCAGACGCAUGCACACAAACACAAAUAAAUAGCUCGCAAACAGCGUAAACGAAGACACAGAGUGGUGACGUGGAACGAGACGCACGUGGAACUGAGUGAUGAUGUUCAUAUAUAUAAAACAAAAGAAUACGACUUUAGAUGUGUUAAUGAGACUUAAAUGUUUGUACAGGAUGAAAGAAGUGACUUUUUUUGUUUUGUUUCCCUUUUCUUGGUCUCACUCUUCAUCACAUCAGCCAUCAUCUUCCUCUCCUGGACCGGGUUGCACCAGCUGUUUGUAGAUCCCUCCUUAUGUUUCUGUUCGGGGGGCCAGAACAACGUUUCUGCUUCCUUUACUGUUUCAUCGCUCAGUUAACGUUCAGCUGUUUCCGGAGUCGUGUUCAGUUACCGCUGAUGAAAAACCAACAUUUCCCGAUGUUGCUUUUUUUUUUUUUUUUUUUUUUAAA